GACCGCUGGAGACAGAUAUGCAAGAUGGCAGAGGAGGGGGGAAAGCCAAUAGAAAAGGGAUAUUGCACCUACUUGUGGCCAGUUUCCUUGCCCUGCCUUUGGAUCUCAUGCUGUGCCCAGUCCUGCAGCCGCUGGAAAUUUUCUAUACCGUCCAUACCAAGAAGGCGGGGCUGGGGAGGACUUUUUAAAUCUUUCCCGUACUAAACAACCAGAAGGACUGGACUCUCGACGAAUGAUCCAGGAGAAAGUGAGAUUCAUCCUGAACUCCGGGAAAUCUGAUGCUGCCGCUGCUACUGCUACCGGAGCUAUUGCGGCUUCUGCUUUCAGAGUUGAAAGCAGAAUAAAUGUUUCUUUCUCGAUUUUAGGUCCAGGCAAGCUCGGGCAUUUGAUAUCCAAGACCUCCUGCCUUCCCUGAGGUCGGCUGUCACCUUCCGGCCUCCCCCACCGCUGCCCCCCGUCGCCUCCCGCUGCAGCUCAGCCUGCCUGCCAUUUUCACUCAUUCGCUUAAACCCACAACCUCCGGGGUCGUAAGAAGAAGGAGCUGUGUAAUUCUGGGGACAUUUUGGCUAAAAGAUACAAGUCCCUGGAGAACCAAGGUAUGGGUCCCAAGGGAGACAGAUGUGUAAUAUUGAAAUGUGAGAAAUGGAAGUAGGAGUAAAACAGCUUCCAAAAGAAAAGUCUCUCGUGCCCACAACACAUGGGCGCAGGAGAAUCCCACCAUUUCGUCUGAACCAGAGAGGCAGGUGGGGGGUUUCCCUCAGUCCUUCUACAAUACCUGUUGCCCUGCGCAUACAGGUGGUGUACUUAUACAUUUGGUAAGUGCAGAAGCACUAGGCACUUCAACAUUCUGAGUGUGGGUGCCCGGGCAUCUGUGAAUUUGAGUUCACUGGCUUUUCUCAGUUUAGAUGGAGGAGUGCCUUCACUCUGACCAGUAAGUGUCCUUAGGGGAAAAGGAGAAGUGGGGGUUGAAGGCUUUCAGAAAGGAAGUAAAAUCUCUAGGAAGAGAAGCAUACUAAGCUAGCCAGCAAGGAGUUCACAGAAACUGCUUUAAGGGAUUCUCUGGGGACCCUCACCUUAGGCCAGAGGACAGAGGGGCUCUGCUGGAGGAUCAGGCCCCUCCCAGGGGUCAGACCCUACAGGGCCCUGGCUCCCAGGAGAGGAGGUGGAGUCCACUGGGGAAGGAAGGAGAAUAUGACUGGGACAUUUCAUUUCACCUUCUCACCCCCGGAGAUUAAAAAAUAAAUAAAUAAAAGGAAUUACCAACCUCCCUAACCAUUGCUCUCCUUAAUUCCUUUCUUCUCGUCCCCCAGGGGGUCUGCAUCUGGGUCCCCUUGUAGAAAGGAGGUUAAGAGGAGUGCUGGAGAAUUUUUUAGCAAAGGAAGGGAUCUAGGAACCAAACCCAAGAUUACAAUACGAAAUCCACAAGUGAAGCUGCAGUUGUUGCUUCUGCUGAGAAAUUAUAAACCACCCCGCGGGCUGCGGGGGGUGGGGCGGGGGGUAGGGGC